rnacentral:rRNA from 1 species
AUGGCUCAGGAUGAACGCUAGCUACAGGCUUAACACAUGCAAGUCGAGGGGCAGCAUAUCGAAGCUUGCUUGAUAGAUGGCGACCGGCGCACGGGUGAGUAACGCGUAUCCAACCUUCCCAUCACUCAGGGAUAGCCCGCCGAAAGGCGAAUUAAUACCUGAUGGUCUCCUUUGCAGACAUCUAACGAGGAGUAAAGAUUUAUUGGUGAUGGAUGGGGAUGCGUCUGAUUAGGUAGUAGGCGGGGUAACGGCCCACCUAGCCGACGAUCAGUAGGGGUUCUGAGAGGAAGGUCCCCCACAUUGGAACUGAGACACGGUCCAAACUCCUACGGGAGGCAGCAGUGAGGAAUAUUGGUCAAUGGACGGAAGUCUGAACCAGCCAAGUAGCGUGCAGGAUGACGGCCCUAUGGGUUGUAAACUGCUUUUGUGCGGGAAUAAAGUAUGGGACGUGUCCCAUUUUGCAUGUACCGCACGAAUAAGGACCGGCUAAUUCCGUGCCAGCCGCCGC